AUGGCCUCUUCACCGGCGACCACCAGCACUGCGUUGCGCUCUGCGGCGACAUCCCCCGCCGCCGGUUUCGCGCGCCAUCCAGCGACUCACCGUCCUGAGAAAGGCCUGUUGGCCCUCAGUGGUAGGAGGGCCAUGAAGCCGGUGGUCGCUGCCGCCGGGUCAGCCGCGCCGGCACCGGCGUCCGUCCGGUCAACAGUGAAGAAGCCCAUCAUCGUUAUCGACAACUACGAUAGCUUUACCUACAACCUGUGCCAGUAUAUGGGGGAGCUUGGAGUACAUUUUGAGGUGUACCGUAAUGAUGAACUUACCAUAGAGGAUGUAAAGAGGAUGAAGCCACGAGGAAUACUUAUUUCUCCAGGGCCUGGCGAACCACAAGAUUCAGGUAUAUCAUUGCAGACUGUUCUGGAACUCGGGCCAACCAUCCCAAUAUUCGGAGUUUGCAUGGGUCUGCAGUGCAUUGGAGAGGCUUUUGGAGGGAAGAUUAUUCGCGUUCCUUCUGGUGUGAUGCAUGGAAAAAGCUCCCCUGUUCACUAUGACGAAGUUUUAGGAAAGGCCAUAUUCGAGGGCUUGUCAAACCCUUUUACCGCUGCAAGAUAUCACAGCUUGGUCAUUGAGAAGGAAAGCUUCCCACACGAUGAACUGGAAAUCACGGCAUGGACUGAAGAUGGACUUAUCAUGGCCGCCCGCCACAAGAAGUACAAGCAUAUCCAGGGGGUCCAGUUCCACCCAGAGAGUAUCAUCACCCCUGAAGGCAAGAGAAUCAUCCUCAACUUUGCGAGAUACGUCGAGGAGUUUGAGAAGCAGGCCUCGGACUCAGUAGGGAACUAG
rnacentral:rRNA from 1 species